CCGCUUUGCUCUCUUCUUUGGAUGCUCCGGUUCAUGCUCAUAUGUCUUCCUUUAAGCUCAAUUCCCUUCACAAACACUAAACCUAAAUUCCAAGAAUCC